CCUACGGGAGGCAGCAGUGAGGAAUAUUGGUCAAUGGGCGCGAGCCUGAACCAGCCAAGUCGCGUGAAGGAUGACUGUCCUACGGGUUGUAAACUUCUUUUAUCAAGGAAUAAAGUCAGGCACGUGUGCCUUUUUGUAUGUACUUUAUGAAUAAGGAUCGGCUAACUCCGUGCCAGCAGCCGCGGUAAUACGGAGGAUCCGAGCGUUAUCCGGAUUUAUUGGGUUUAAAGGGAGCGUAGAUGGGUUGUUAAGUCAGGUGUGAAAGUUUGCGGCUCAACCGUAAAAUUGCAAUUGAUACUGGCAGCCUUGAGUACAGGUGAGGUAGGCGGAAUUCGUGGUGUAGCGGUGAAAUGCUUAGAUAUCACGAAGAACUCCGAUUGCGAAGGCAGCUUACUAAACUGCCACUGACAUUGAUGCUCGAAAGUGUGGGUAUCAAACAGGAUUAGAUACCCUAGUAGUC
rnacentral:rRNA from 1 species